ACGCUCGACACCACGGGGGCAGCAGUGGGGAAUAUUGCACAAUGGGGGAAACCCUGAUGCAGCAACGCCGCGUGAAGGAUGAAGGCCUUUGGGUCGUAAACUUCUGUUCUAAGGGAAGAUAGUGACUGUACCUUAGGAGCAAGUCCCGGCUAACUACGUGCCAGCACGCCGGACGGUAAUCGUGGAGGCCGGGCUGGACGAAGGC
rnacentral:rRNA from 1 species